CGGCAGGCUUCCUCGGCCUCCUCAGCGGCCUCCCAAAGGAGCUUCAGCAACUGUUUCCUGUCACCACACAGCGAAACACUCAAAGCUCCGCUGAAAGCGAUUCUGACGUUCUGUGGGAGGUCAACAAAGUUGAAAAUAUCAGUCAAGAAGGUAGAGAAAUGAACUCCAGCAGCAGGAGGGCAAACAGGGGGGAUAUCGAGGAAGAAGUGAGAGGAACAAGUGUAACUGGAGUUCUGAACCCCACAGCGUGUCUCCUUUUGGGUGACGUUCUGCUGUUCACUGUCGACACACGUCACUAUCCUCAGUAUGAUCUGUAAGUUAGAUGCUAGACGUACAAGUUUUCAACUUUUACUGCUAUAAAUGUCUGUUUUGACUGUGUUUGCCACCUUACUUCAUGUUUUUCAGUGACAGCUUGUACAACACAAACAGGGAUUUUGACUGGGGUGCAUUCAGACAGCUAAAAGAAGAGCUGACUCUAUCUUGGACUCCUCCCAGCUUCUUUUCGUUAGUCUUUAGCCAGCCUGGAGUAUAUGUUUUCACACUGAGCAGCCAUCAGCACAAACACUUGGUAACUACAUUUUGAAUAAUAUAUAUAAUAUAUAUAUUAUAUAUAUAUAUAUAUAUAUAUAUAUAUAUAUAUAUAUAUAUAUAUAUAUAACAUGGCGGACUCCAUGGAAGGUGACCAUUCCAUUUUUGCCAGAUCCUCCUAAAUGUUACACACUGGACCUUUAAGUCCAUCCACCGAUAGAAAUAUGGUGAGUUUUGACAUGUUCAAAAACAAAACCGACACAUUUUUAAGUCUAAGUUAAAUUAAUUCUUACUAAAAUUAAGACUAACCACACUUUCUGAUCACAUACAUCAGUGUGUCACUCAAACUGACCUUGAAUUUUGUUUUUACACAGUAUGUACGAGUGAUGCCUGCAGGCGGCCAGUGUUAUGAGCCCGGCCCCUUCUUCCCCACCAUCCCUCGUCAUGUAACUAGGGUGGGCAUCAGUAAGAGACGCAACCUGUUACUGAGACCAGAUUGGCUGGUGACUGGAGGACUGCUAUUUGGAGCUGUGGUCAUCCUCUGCUUAUGCGUUACACUGCUGAUCCUGUUCCAUGAAUACGGAUGGCCUGAGAAGGAGCCAAUCAGAGCACGGUAUCGCUUGUUGCAGUUGGGCUACAACAUGGACGACUACUCAUCAAAAGGUUCAAGGGUGAUCUCACUUCGGAAGAUUCACCGAAACCAACAAGCUAGAAUGACACAAGACUCCAUUCAACCAGCAGUCUGUGCAGAUACCUUGGAGGAGUUCUGGGAUUAUGAGCACCAGGUGGAUCUGGAGGCAUUCAGCAGCAACACCUUCUACAGCCUGCUGCUCAAACAGAGUCUGUCUGUCACCACACGGCUGGGACAGCUCACCACUGAGGUAAAGCAGCUAUACCAGGGGGUGAUUGGGAAACUGGAGCUACUCCACCCACGCUUGAUCACUGAGGAGAGGAUGGGGGAGGGUUUUGAGAGGAUGAGAAGGGAGGUGGAGAGGGAGAUGGUACGACGAAAGACUCUGGCAUCACAGCUGAGGACACUGUUCGACAGUCAACUGCAGGUUUACACUACAUUACAUUCCCUUCUCAUCUCUUAUGAUUAAAAAAUCCUGGUUUCCCUCUGAAAACGAAUGAAUUUACUCUAACGACAAGGUAAAGGAAAGAAAGAUAACAAGAAGGUGUGUUUAUGUGUUGGGCAGCAACUAAAAAUUAUUUUCAUUGUCAAGUAGUCUCCUGAUUAUUUAUUGAUAUGAAUUGAUUCAUCAUUACAAAAUGUCCGAAAUGGUAAAAAAAUGCCAAUCACAAUUUCCUAAAGCCCAAGCACAACUCUCCAAAAGCCGGAGAUAUUCAGUUCAAGUUCACGUAAGACAAAGGAGAGC
ensembl:lncRNA